rnacentral:rRNA from 1 species
AGGAUUAACGCUGGCGGCGUGCCUAACACAUGCAAGUCGAACGAGGUAGCAAUACCUAGUGGCAGACGGGUGAGUAACGCGUGGUCAACCUACCGUUGAGUGGGGGAUAACUAGCCGAAAGGUUAGCUAAUACCGCAUACGAGUCUCGGGGGCAUCCCUGGGACUUAAAAGGAGCAAUCCGCUCGAUGACGGGACCGCGUCCCAUUAGCUAGAUGGUGGGGUAACGGCCUACCAUGGCACCGAUGGGUAGCUGGUUUGAGAGAGCGACCAGCCACACUGGGACUGAGAAACGGCCCAGACUCCUACGGGAGGCAGCAGUGAGGAAUUUUCCGCAAUGGGCGAAAGCCUGACGGAGCGACGCCGCGUGUGGGAAGAAGGCCUUCGGGUCGUAACCACUGUCGAAGGGGACGAUAAUGACGGUACCCUUGGAGGAAGCCCCGGCUAACUACGCGCCAGCAGCCGC